rnacentral:rRNA from 1 species
GAUCAUGGCUCAGAACGAACGCUGGCGGCGCGUUUAAGCAUGCAAGUCGAGCGGCAAGGGCCUUCGGGCCCCUAGAGCGGCGGACGGGUGAGUAACACGUGGACAAUCUGCCCCCCGGCCCGGGAUAGCCCAGGGAAACCUGGAUUAAUACCGGAUGAGACGGGACCCGCGAUGGCGGGACCCGGGAAAGGCGCUGCGGCGCCGCCGGGGGAUGAGUCUGCGUCCCAUUAGCUAGACGGCGGGGUAACGGCCCACCGUGGCGACGAUGGGUAGCCGGCCUGAGAGGGUGGACGGCCACAUUGGAACUGAGACACGGUCCAGACUCCUACGGGAGGCAGCAGCUAAGAAUCUUCCGCAAUGGGCGAAAGCCUGACGGAGCGACGCCGCGUGAACGAAGAAGGCCGUGAGGUUGUAAAGUUCUUUUCGGGAGGGGGAACAACCGUGGCAGGGAAUGGCCGCGGGAUGACGUGAAUCCCGGAAUAAGCCCCGGCUAACUACGUGCCAGCAGCAGC